rnacentral:rRNA from 1 species
AUUGAACGCUGGCGGCAUGCCUUACACAUGCAAGUCGAACGGCAGCACGGGAGCAAUCCUGGUGGCGAGUGGCGAACGGGUGAGUAAUAUAUCGGAACGUGCCCAGUCGCGGGGGAUAACGCCACGAAAGCAGGGCUAAUUCCGCAUACGAUCUGUGGAUGAAAGCGGGGGAUCGCAAGACCUCGCGCGAAUGGAGCGGCCGAUAUCAGAUUAGCUAGUUGGUGAGGUAAAGGCUCACCAAGGCGACGAUCUGUAGCUGGUCUGAGAGGACGACCAGCCACCCUGGAACUGAGACACGGUCCAGACUACUACGGGAGGCAGCAGUGGGGAAUUUUGGACAAUGGGCGAAAGCCUGAUCCAGCAAUGCCGCGUGCAGGAUGAAGGCCUUCGGGUUGUAAACUGCUUUUGUACGGAACGAAACGGUGAGCUCUAAUACAGUUUGCUAAUGACGGUACCGUAAGAAUCAGCACCGGCUAACUACGUGCCAGCCGCCGCAGUAA